AAUCAACGCUGGCGGCGUGCCUCAGACAUGCAAGUCGAACGAUUAAGACUUCCUUCGGGAAGUGCAUAAAGUGGCGCACGGGUGAGUAACACGUAAGUAAUCUACCUUCGAGUGGGGAAUAACGUUCGGAAACGAACGCUAAUACCGCAUAAUGCAGCGGCAUCGCAAGAUGACAGUUGUUAAAGGAAUUUAUUUCGCUUGAAGAGGAGCUUGCGGCAGAUUAGCUAGUUGGUAAGGUAACGGCUUACCAAGGCUACGAUCUGUAUCCGGUCUAAGAGGACGGUCGGACACACUGACACUGAAUAACGGGUCAGACUCCUACGGGAGGCAGCAGUCGGGAAUUUUGGGCAAUGGGCGAAAGCCUGACCCAGCAACGCCGCGUGAAGGAUGAAGUAUUUCGGUAUGUAAACUUCGAAAGAAUAGGAAGAAUAAAUGACGGUACUAUUUAUAAGGUCCGGCUAACUACGUGCCAGCAGCCGCGGUAAU
rnacentral:rRNA from 1 species